rnacentral:tRNA from 3 species
GGGCGCAUAGCUCAGUUGGUUAGAGCACUGCUCUUACAAAGCAGGGGUCGACAGUUCGAGUCUGUCUGUGCCCA